rnacentral:rRNA from 1 species
ACCUUUACAAUGCACGAAAGUGUGAUAGGGGGAUACUCAGUGCUUACGCUUAUGGUGUAGGCUUUUGUCGAUCGUAAAUAGAUCGGCGAAUAAGUGGUGGGCAAGACCGGUGCCAGCCGCCGCGGUAACCCCGGCGCCACAAGUGGUUAUCACGAUUAUUGGGCCUAAAGCGUUCGUAGCCGGUCUGGUAAAUCUCUUGUGAAAUUGUUCGGCUUAACCGGACAGCGUGCAGGAGACACUACCAGGCUCGAGACCGGGAGGGGUUAGAAGUAUUCCAUGGGGACUGGUAAAAUGGGAUAAUCCAUGGAAGACUACCGAUGGCGAAGGCAUCUAACCAGAACGGAUCUGACGGUGAGGAACGAAAGCCGGGGGAGCGAACCGGAUUAGAUACCCGAGUAGUCCUGGCCGUAAACGCUGUGAGCUAGGUGCCGCGUAUCUCACGAAGAUGCGCGGUGUCGAAAUGAAGAUGCUAAGCUCACCGCCUGGGAAGUACGGUCGCAAGACUGAAACUUUA